UACAGAGGGGGCAAGCGUUAUUCGGAAUUAUUGGGCGUAAAGGGCGCGUAGGCGGCUUCGCAAGUGGAAGGUGAAAUCCCUCGGCUUAACCGAGGAACUGCCCUCCAAACUGCGUUGCUUGAGGCCGGGAGAGGUGAGUGGAAUUCCGUGGUGUAGCGGUGAAAUGCGCAGAUAUCAGGAGGAACACCUAUUGCGAAGGCAGCUCGCUGGGACGUAACUGACGCUGAGAACGCGGAAAGCAGUGGGGAGUCAAACAACGG
rnacentral:rRNA from 1 species